UUGUCCUACGGGAGGCAGCAGUGAGGAGUAUUGGUCAAUGGGCGGAAGCCUGAACCAGCCAAGUCGCGUGAGGGAAUAAGGCCCUACGGGUCGUAAACCUCUUUUGCCGGGGAGCAAGGGCGGGGACGUGUCCCGGCCCGGAGAGUACCCGGAGAAAAAGCAUCGGCUAACUCCGUGCCAGCAGCCGCGGUAAUACGGAGGAUGCGAGCGUUAUCCGGAUUUAUUGGGUUUAAAGGGUGCGUAGGCGGGCUUUUAAGUCAGCGGUAAAAGCCCGGGGCUCAACCCCGGCGAGCCGUUGCAACUGG
rnacentral:rRNA from 1 species